GACGAACGCUGGCGGCGUGCUUAACACAUGCAAGUCGAACGGAAAGGCCCUGCUUUUGUGGGGUGCUCGAGUGGCGAACGGGUGAGUAACACGUGAGUAACCUGCCCUUGACUUUGGGAUAACUUCGGGAAACUGGGGCUAAUACCGGAUAGGAGCUCCUGCUGCGUGGUGGGGGUUGGAAAGUUUCGGCGGUUGGGGAUGGACUCGCGGCUUAUCAGCUUGUUGGUGGGGUAGUGGCUUACCAAGGCUUUGACGGGUAGCCGGCCUGAGAGGGUGACCGGCCACAUUGGGACUGAGAUACGGCCCAGACUCCUACGGGAGGCAGCAGUGGGGAAUAUUGCACAAUGGGCGGAAGCCUGAUGCAGCAACGCCGCGUGCGGGAUGACGGCCUUCGGGUUGUAAACCGCUUUCGCCUGUGACGAAGCGUGAGUGACGGUAAUGGGUAAAGAAGCACCGGCUAACUACGUG
rnacentral:rRNA from 1 species